rnacentral:tRNA from 3 species
CGUUGCCGUAGGCGGGGCCGUCGCCGGCGCCGUUGCCGCCGGCCUUGACCACGGUGCCGCCGUGGGCGGCGAC